ACACUGAAGUUACCACAGGUGUUUCAACUAUCCUUUUUCUUGCCUGGGUCAAAAAUCUACCAUGAUGUUUAUAAGUAAAUUAGCAUGUCUAUGGUAUCACCUACCAUCGGUGACGUGCCUCGGCCGUAGGGUGAGGUCCACAUGCCGACAUGGCACGACUCACUUUAUAAACAAAACUUUGCGGGUCAUGGUAGUCAAGGGUUGUAUAUGUGUGUGUCGGGUUGUGUUGUACCCGGGUCGUCCUAUUGGCCACCUAUAAUCAGGACUAUGGCGCGUAAAAUACC
rnacentral:lncRNA from 1 species